rnacentral:rRNA from 1 species
AUGCAGUGCAUCCACGACGCGCUCGCGCAGCUCGGCCUCGACAAGCAGGUCGCGGUCACCACCGCACACAACCUCGGUGUGCUCGCCACCUCCUACCCGCCCUCGUCGGCCUACUUCCGCAAGGACCUCCUCCCGGUGCUCUGCCCGAUCCUCGACUUCCACGCCCGCACCAGCUCGCCGUUCCUCGUCAACGCCUACCCCUACUUCGCUUACGCCGAGGACCCCGCCGGCGUGGAGCUUGAGUACGCCCUGCUCGAGCCCGGCCACGGCCGCGUCCCGGACGGCCGGACCCGUCCUCCGGGCUGCGCUACCCCAACAUGCUGGUGUCCCAGGUGGACGCCGUGUACCACGCGAUCGCAGCGGCCAACCGCGGGGUGGCGCGCGCGGUGGAGGUGCGCGUGUCGAAGACCGGGUGGCCAUCGGCCGGCGACGGCAACGAGACCGGCGCGACGCCGCGGAACGCCGCAAGGUACAACGGCAACGUUAUGCGGCUGGUGGGCGAGGGCAAGGGCACGCCGCUGCGGCCGGACGGAGCGUUGCGCGUCUACAUGUUCGCCCUCUUCAACGAGAACAUGA